AUGACUUUCAUCUUCAUGUUCCUCUGGACACUUGUCCUCUACUUUCAGAUCUCAUAUGGACAGGUCACUGUGACUCAGACUCCUGCAGUGAAAGCUGUUCAACAGGGAGGAUCAGUCACUCUGAACUGUAAAACCAGCAGUGAUGUGUAUGAUGCAGGGAAAUCAAGUCUUGAAUUAAACUGGUACCAACAGAAACCUGGAGCAGCUCCUAAACUCCUGAUCUAUUAUGCCAAAACACUUCAGUCUGGGACUCCAUCCAGAUUCAGUGGCAGUGGAACUCACAGUGACUUCACUCUGACCAUCAGUAAUGUCCAGGCUGAGGAUGCAGGAGUUUACUACUGUCAAAGUGCACACGUUAUAAGCAGUAAAGCUGUGUUCACACAGUGA